GUCAGCAGCCAUAUCACCCUGCAGCCCAAGACUGGCCACCCACUGAAGCUAAGCAAGGUUGAGCCUGGUCAGUACCUGGAUGGGAGACCUCCUGGGAAAACUAGGUUGCUGCUGGAA
rnacentral:rRNA from 1 species